UACGGAGAGUGCAAGCAUUAAUCGGAUUUAUUGGGCGUAAAGGGCGCGUAGGCGGUAAUGAAAGUCAGAUGUGAAAUUCCGAAGCUCAACUUCGGAGCUGCAUUUGAAACUUCAAUACUAGAGGAUUGGCGGAGAAAACGGAAUUCCACGUGUAGCGGUGAAAUGCGUAGAUAUGUGGAAGAACACCUGUGGCGAAAGCGGUUUUCUAGCUAAUUCCUGACGCUGAGGCGCGAGAGCAAGGGGAGCAAACAGG
rnacentral:rRNA from 1 species